GUGGGGAAUAUUGGACAAUGGGCGAAAGCCUGAUCCAGCCAUGCCGCGUGUGUGAAGAAGGUCUUCGGAUUGUAAAGCACUUUAAGUUGGGAGGAAGGGCAGUAAGUUAAUACCUUGCUGUUUUGACGUUACCGACAGAAUAAGCACCGGCUAACUUCGUGCCAGCAGCCGCGGUAAUACGAAGGGUGCAAGCGUUAAUCGGAAUUACUGGGCGUAAAGCGCGCGUAGGUGGUUCAGUAAGUUGGAAGUGAAAUCCCCGGGCGCAAGCUAGGAAGUGCUUUCAAAACUGCUGAGCUAGAGUACGGUAGAGGGUGGUGGAAUUUCCUGUGUAGCGGUGAAAUGCGUAGAUAUAGGAAGGAACACCAGUGGCGAAGGCGACCACCUGGACUGAUACUGACACUGAGGUGCGAAAGCGUGGGGAGCAAACAGGAUUAGAAACCCCAGUAGUCC
rnacentral:rRNA from 1 species